CUCGGCACAGCGGCCGCCGGGCCACGGGGCAGUCCCAGUCGGGUCCCUCGGGGGAACUGCGAUCAGAAGACGCUGUGCUUUAGCCGUCUCACGGUGCUGCACACGUGGCAGUAAAGGUUCCUGUGUGGUCGUCGGGAUGCUGUGCUGUAAAUUCGGCUGCUACUAAAAAACAAACGCCGCUGACAGGCGCGGCCUCACUGUCCCAGUUUGUUCACCGAGGUAAUUCGAGAAGUGCUUGUCCGUGUUAGCGGCUGGUUAAGUGAUUUAACCUAAGAUUUUCCAGAGCUCUGUGAGCCUCCAUUUGUGUUUCAUUCGCUUCUGAGGGCAUUGCAUUCCACCUAGCUACACCGGUAUUGGGGCCAACAACUUCUGCUUGUGUUCAACUAAAGCAACAUUUCUCCUUAUGGAAAGUAUUCUGGUUUUCCUUUCUCUGCUGGAAGAAACUGAGCAACUGCUGCCAGCUCCAGGGAACAUGCAUAGGCGAGUACUGUAUUUCCAGAAAGUUUGAUUAAAUCUGAACCAAAGCAGUUCUUCCAUAAAGACAUGUUGUACUCAGGAAAGCACUGAAAAAUGAAGGAUUCACCAUAUUUCUUCAUGGUUUGUUCUAGCAAUUAAGCAGAUGUAGUUUUAAAUUUGAA